AUGGUGUGCUUGUCUGACAGACAGGGCAGCUGAGGGGAAUAAGUCUCUGCAGCGUUGUAGUGAAGAGAGAAUACGGGACAACUGCAGGACCACAGCUCAGCCAAGACACAACCACAUGACUGAAGACAGAGCUCAUCUGGGUCAGUGUUUCAGAAAAUGUUGCCAAGAAACUUCAAAUGCAGAUUCCUGGACCUCAGUGCAAACUACCAUAUUGGAAGCUCCCUUGCAGCUGAGUUGGCCAUAUGACUGACAGCAAGCCCUGGAAUGCAGCCAGAAGUGAUGGAAGCCUCUUUCACACCAUGCUCCUAAAAUAUUCCAAGAAAUUUUCCAAACCCACUCUUUUUAGUCUGUGCAUCUGGAAGUGAAAGUUUUAGAAAGGGUAAAGUCACUUAAUGGAAAGGGCCCAGAUCUAGCCCCUCGGAGCCAAGCUGUUCAACUAGAAAUUCUGCAUUAGUAUUUGCGGGUUGGCCCAACACUCAUGAAAUGCAGAUGUGAAUGAUUUUUGACUGGCAGAUUUCAAAAUGAAUAUGCAGCCACUACAACUUUUAUAUAACUUUAAAAUUCUGGAAGAGGAAUGCAAGACUCUGUCCAAAUUGUGUGUUUGGGGCAAUGAGAAUAUUAUAUGUACAGUCCAAAAUAUAUUUCCAAAUACAGGUAAACAAAGGCUAUUUUGAUUCUGUUUUAAGGUCGCAAAUAGUCUGUCAUGGAGUUUAGAUUGUGAGUCUCCCUGCUAGAAGAUGGGUCGCAAUUGGAAGAGUGCUUUAUAUUCCCCGCGCCACUGCCAAAUGAUCCUAGAGGUUAACAGAAAACAGCAAUGGGGCUUCCAAGGACAAGGACUGAAUUAUAUACUUUGUAAGACUAGGAAUGAAGAGAACAUUGUAUUCUUCAAACAAAGUAACAGCUAGACAGACAGGCAAAAGAACGAAGAAUCUGGCCUCCAAGUAAUCCUUAAUUAUAACCCUGCAACCUAAAAGGACAAGAAUAUAAAGUGGGUCAAGAAGAAAUGCAUGAAUUAUAUAAGUAAAGAAAACUGAAACACAUCUCCGGGCACAAAGCAAGCUAGCUAUAAUUUACUACUAUAAAAUUCAAGAAUUUUGUACCCUAGCUUAUGCCAUUAAUCCAUAAAGAUACCAAAGCCUUCAAUAUAAAAUGACACUAGAAGCUGUAAUUUAAUUAAGGCUGAGGUACUGUAGUUAUUAAUUACAUGUGAAAUAGUAAAUAUUUAAAAUAUUUGAAAAUUGCUCGUAUUUCUUAAAAUUGAGUAAUAUGCUAUAAAUCUCAAAAGGCA
rnacentral:lncRNA from 1 species